AUCUUAUAAUUGUAUUUUGUUAUAGGUGCUCCUGGGUCUCCUGAUUAUGGUAAAUCGCUAAAAUACUACAAUCAUCUUAAGAAGACGUUAUAUGAAAAUACAGCAGCUAUGGCAGAUUUUAGUGUUAGACUUUGGUGUGAAGGUAACAUUCAAGUUAUAAUGAAGGCACUAAAACUAACCUCAUAAAAUAAAUGCUUCAACUAUUAACACUAUUAAAAACAAUUGGAUAUAUCAAGCCUAUUAAUGAAAAUAUCAA